AAAAAACGUCGAUCCCAAAUCCCCAAUCCCCACUGCCGCCCCCGAGCCCUCGACCUGCUCCCGACCUGCGCCGCCGCCCCGACCCACUGCGCCGCCACCCCUACCUGCGCCGUCUCCCAGACCCACUGCGCCGCCGCCCAGUGUUCCUCUUCAUCGUCGUCGUCCCUGGGCCAAGGCUGAGGAGCCGCCGCAACGUCGCCAUCGACCACCUCAUCCUCUACCUCCGGCCACCGCGACGCCAUCGACGGAUUUGUCGUCUUCACUGCACCCCCGUCCUCCUCGAGCUCAUCCCCAGAACCGCGAUACCUCAUCUAAGGCCUAGAUUAUGAAGAAGGUUUUGAAGAUCCAGAAGACUAAGGAGAAGCAGCUAUAAGGUCAGAGAAUUACAGAGAGUGUGCUCUGUUUUAUGUAUGUAAUCCUGCCUACUGCACCUAUUUUUUGGGCAGUGGCAAGAUCCCAAUAUUGUGAUGCUGCUGCUACUAUAGAUCCCAAACUUGUGAUGCUGCUGCCACUUUUUUCUGUAGUUGUUUCUACUGUUGUUUCAUAGAAAUGGAUUCAUAGUGUCCUGAAGUGGGGCUUGAACCUGCACAAUUGUCUGUCACCACUCACCAGGACCAUGAUGUCCAGCCCAAACCAUCUAUCUGAUGGUUGUGGGCUUCUAUAUGCUGGCAGCUUCUAUGGUGUAUAAAAUUAUCUUAUGAAA